CAUUCGCUGGGCUACACCCCCGAGCUUGCAUCCCCAAGACUGGAGUGCUAGAGUGCUGAGUGGGUAGCGCAGUGCUCGAUGUCAGCGCUGCAAAUGACGUAGCAAUCAGUAGGACUACGGCUGCGAAGGUAGGCUACCCUGACUGCAACUGACGCUGUGGCACGUCAGCUAGGGGAUCAGUCAGGAUUAGAUCCCUGGUAGUCGUAGUCCUAAACGAUAUGAUACCAGUUGUGACCGAGAUCGAGACCUGUCGUGCCGAAGCUAACGCAUUAAGUAUCCCAGCCUGGGGAGCACGGUCGCGAGGGUGACACUCAAAGGAAUUUCCGGGGGCCCGCACAAGCGGUGCAGCAUGUGGUUUCAUUCGUUGCAACGAGAAGAUCCUUACCUGGGCUCGAACGGCUAGUGACAGGGGGUGAAAAUCCCUUUUCUUGCAAGGGACAUUAGUCGAGGUGCUGCAUGUCUGUCGUCAGCUCGUGUCGUGAGAUGUUGGGUUAAGUCACGCAACGAGCGCAACCCCUUCCUUUAGUUGCCACCAGGUUAAACUGAGCACUCUAAAGGUACUGCCGGUGAAAAACCGGAGGAAGGUGGGGAUGACGUCAAGUCCUCAUGGCCUUUAUGUCCAGGGCUACACACGUACUACAAUGGGCGGCACAAUGAGUCGCAAACCCGCGAGGGGGAGCCAAUCUCAAAAAACCGCUCUCAGUUCGGAUUUCAGUCUGCGACUCGAUUGCAUGAAGCUGGAAUCGCUAGUAAUCGCUGAUCAGCAAGCAGCGGGGAAUACGUUCCCGGGCCUUGUUCACACCGCCCGUCACAUCACGAAAGCCCGUUGUACUAGAAGCCGGUGAUUCGACCGCAAGGAGAUAGCCGUCCAAGGUAUGACUGGUGAUUGGGGCGAAGUCGUACAAGGUAACCA
rnacentral:rRNA from 1 species